rnacentral:rRNA from 1 species
GCACAAGCGGUGGAGCAUGUGGUUUAAUUCGACGCAACGCGAAGAACCUUACCUGGGCUCGAAAUGGUGUGGACCGGGGUAGAAAUAUCCUUUCCUAGCAAUAGGCCGCACUAUAGGUGCUGCAUGGCUGUCGUCAGCUCGUGUCGUGAGAUGUUGGGUUAAGUCCCGCAACGAGCGCAACCCUUAUCUCCAGUUGCCAUCAUUCAGUUGGGCACUCUGGCGAAACCGCCUCGGAUAACGGGGAGGAAGGUGGGGAUGACGUCAAGUCCUCAUGGCCUUUAUGUCCAGGGCUACACACGUGCUACAAUGGCCGGUAUAAACCGCUGCAAACCCGCGAGGGGGAGCUAAUCGGAAAAAGCCGGCCUCAGUUCGGAUCGCAGUCUGCAACUCGACUGCGUGAAGCUGGAAUCGCUAGUAAUCGCAGAUCAGAAUGCUGCGGUGAAUACGUUCCCGGGC